CCCUGUUAUUAAUGGGUUAAAUAUUGUGAGUAAGUGAAUUAAUGGAAACAAAAAAAUAUGGCGGUACUUUAAGCUUAUCAGAGGAAUUUGCUCUGUAAUGGAUAAAACACCUGAAUCUUACUAAAGUUAGUUAAAUCAGCUUGUAUACCACUAUAAGAGUAAUAAUUUAUUAUUAUUUCUAUAAUUUUUUCAUAAAAAAAUAAAUUAAGUCAUGGUGCAGCAAAAAUUUUAGAAUGAAGUGAAUUACAUUUCUUUUAAGAAUAAAAAAUUGAAAAAUUAUAUUAGGAUUUGAAAGUAAAUAAAUAAUAACAUGAUUUAUUGAAUUUAGCUCUAAAGUAUGUACACAUCGCCCGUCGCUCU
rnacentral:rRNA from 1 species